rnacentral:rRNA from 1 species
UACAGAGGUGGCAAGCGUUGUUCGGAAUUACUGGGCGUAAAGGGCGCGUAGGCGGCCAUCUAAGUCAGACGUGAAAUCCCCCGGCUUAACCUGGGAACUGCGUCUGAUACUGGAAGGCUUGAGUAUGGGAGAGGGAUGUAGAAUUCCAGGUGUAGCGGUGAAAUGCGUAGAUAUCAGGAGGAACACCUGCGGUGUAGACGGCUUACUGGACCAUAACUGACGCUGAGGCACGAAAGCGUGGGUAGCAAACAGG